AUAGAAAUGAUAAUAAGUCAGUAAAUAAAAAUCAUCUCAACAUAAGUUAGCUUGCUGUACUAUCAGUCAGUCAGUGAAAGUCAUAGUGUGCAUGUGUGAUUCUGAUGCUUAAUGGAGAGGGUCAAUUUUUGCUCUGCUGCUCCUGCAUUGUAACUUAUAAUUCCCUUUUUUUCCUUCUAAAUCCUUCUUAAAUACUACAUGAUAAAAUUUUAACGCCUACAACUUGUUACCUUCACAGAGGGUGUUACUUUCACAGAGGAUGCAACAGCGACGUGGAGACAAGCAGCCGUGGUGGACGAGGCAGAGGUGGUCCACGGGGUGGACGUGGGCGGGGAGGAGGCGGCAGGGGAGGAGAUCGCUACACCAACGACCGUUCCGGAUCUGAUGUUACAGAACUUAUGUAAUGAACUUGGGAGGUGCAAUUCUGGUGGUCUUCAGUAGAUAUUGCAUUAGUUGAAACCAAGAUGAUACGAGGUGGCCUGCCGUGCUUGGCCGAGCAGAACAAUAGCCCCCAGCUCUGCUGCCCCAUCACGUCCUGUCAUUAGUGGGCUUCCAGCUGAGAGAAAAUAGUAAGGAAAAAUAGUUAAAAAAGAAAGAAAAAUUAUGAAAUCUUUCACAACAGCUGGAAACCAGAAGGAAUAAUGGCAGGUGGAGGAAGACCUGGAAGAUCUCUCUCUAUUUUUUAUUUAUUUAUUAAUUAUUUUUUUGUUUAUUUGUUUGUUCUUACUAGAUACAUACUGAUGUUAGGAAGAGAAGGUCUGCAGGCACACGAAAUAUGUACGGUAAAGCAUUUCCUGAUGUGACUGAAGUGAUGUGACUUAAAAAUAUAUAUAUACAAAAAAUAUAAUACAAAAAUACCCCCCCAAAAAAACAGAAAAAAAAAUUAUAAAAGUCACAGAUGCUGCCAUCUCUGGAUAUCCAUUAUAAGAGUUUUUUUCCAUUUCUUUUUCUUUUUGAAGUAAUUUUCAUCCUUGUCAAAUUGAGAAGGGAAAACAUAAAGUGAGCCCCAUGCUUAUGACAGAAUGCUGUAGGGUACACUGCCUUGGGGGAAGCUCAAUCACCUUAACAUUCCAGUUGCAUCUAGUCAUUUGUAUCAAAAUUAAAAGACAAAGAUUGCUUUCAAGCGAGAAGCUUCCAAGUUUAUCUCCUUGAGUUUUUCUCCCUAGCCUUGUGACCCUACAGACCAGAAUCAUUAUCUCAAAAGGAAAGGAAUAUAAGUAUUUAUCAUUAUGAUUUAUGAAUAUUUUUGAGAAUAUUCUCUCUCGCUCUAAUUUUUCAUUGCCUUUGGUUGAUAUGACACCAAUAUAUCUUUGUUAUCAAUCACAGGGUCAGAGAAUGUUGGAAGUGAAAAUGUAAUAAAAAAUGACUAGUCUGGAUUGAGAUCCUUAUGAGAUAAUGGUUUUGGUAACUGGUUGUCCAGACAUGGCACGCUCUGCUAAGAUAUGGGAAUUACUUAACCUAAGGACGCUUGCAUACUGUUAAAGAUGACACCGAUAUUCAUUGAUUAUGACGCUUGUAAUCACCAGACACCUUUUGGCUAGGUGAAUAACUAGCUACUGGAAUAGCAAAACCUUUCUGUACUACUUGUUUGCAGAUAGUGUUUUUCUUAAUAAAAGUAUCAAUUGAA